rnacentral:rRNA from 1 species
AGUGAACGCUGGCGGUAGGCCUAACACAUGCAAGUCGAACGGCAGCACAGUAAGAGCUUGCUCUUACGGGUGGCGAGUGGCGGACGGGUGAGGAAUACAUCGGAAUCUACUUUUUCGUGGGGGAUAACGUAGGGAAACUUACGCUAAUACCGCAUACGACCUACGGUUGAAAGCAGGGGAUCUUCGGACCUUGCGCGAUUGAAUGAGCCGAUGUCGGAUUAGCUAGUUGGCGGGGUAAAGGCCCACCAAGGCGACGAUCCGUAGCUGGUCUGAGAGGAUGAUCAGCCACACUGGAACUGAGACACGGUCCAGACUCCUACGGGAGGCAGCAGUGGGGAAUAUUGGACAAUGGGCGCAAGCCUGAUCCAGCCAUACCGCGUGGGUGAAGAAGGCCUUCGGGUUGUAAAGCCCUUUUGUUGGGAAAGAAAAGCAGCAGGUUAAUACCCCGCUGUUCCGACGGUAUCCAAAGAAUAAGCACCGGCUAACUUCGUG